CUAUUAAUUAUUGCUUAGUGGUUGAAUGUAAUUUACAUAUUAAAAAAAAGUAAGAUGGAAUUAAAUUAAAAUUGAAGUCCUAUUUUCUGUACUUAUCACAGCUUGAAUGGUCAAGGUAGCUCUCAUUUUUUAGUGGCGAUUGUUAAUGUAGUUAUAAAUGCACAGUACUAAAAGUUAAUGCUAAUAUGGAGACAACAUUAGUAUCUUCUCCUGAGGUUAAUACUUACAUGUCAGAUAGAAUUAAGAUUGUGGACUAUCAUGCAUUAUAUAUCAAUUUCCAGAAAUAUGUAAAAAAAAAAAACUAGAUAAGACUGCAAUAUCAGGUUAUAGCCUCGGAGGAUUAGGGUAGAGUUAUUUUAACUUGGAGCCCCAACAGGUUUAACUAUGACUGUGCCUCAGAUUUAGUAGGCUAACCUUGUCUCCAUAUUUACCAAAGUUAUAUACACAUAUAGUUGAAAUUUUCUGUAGGUACCUACUGAUGUUUUAUAAGUUUUGUUUUGUUUCUAUAUGUUUUUAUUAUUGUUAUGUUAUUGCUUCUUAGCUUGGUUUACAAGACAGUGGGAUGUAAGUGUUCAUAUAUAUAUAUACUGUUAGAGCACCUGUUAACUAGUUCAUGUACAGCAAACAUAACUAUUAUCAAUAACGUGUUGAUUUUUCUUGUAACAGUGCAAAGAAGGAGGAGUCUAACUAUAAGAAAAAAGCUGAGCCAGACUGUUGAUGGCCCCUAUCCUCCACCACCAAAUUUCUCUGAAGAACAUGACCUGCUCUGCAAUACACUGCCUGGAGAAAUGAAGAUGGGGGAAAAUGUGUUUGACACCUUCGUUGUCAAGAGAAAAGCUGAUGAAAUUAAAGUGCCUUCUUUUGACAAAAUGGGUUCCUGCGAGUCUGCAAACAGUGGUGUUAGGGGAACUCCUCCAUCAGCUCCAACUCUCCUAAGUGCCCCUACACCAUGGAGGAUAGGCCUGAAUGCCGUACUUUGGGAUCUGUUUUAAUGAUAAUAAUGU